CGCUAUUUUAUGGAAUUUUCAACACCCCCUCCCCCUCGUCACGCAAAAAGGGUUAAAUUUGACCGAAAUUUGUUAGAACCUUCACGUUUCGCUGACCUUCCCUCACCCCAUUCGAGUGUGACGUCAUAUGUGAACAGCCCCUAAUCGCGGUGAUUUUUUUCAAAAUU